rnacentral:rRNA from 1 species
GACGAACGCUGGCGGCGUGCUUAACACAUGCAAGUCGAACGGUGAAGCGAGUGCUUGCACUCGUGGAUCAGUGGCGAACGGGUGAGUAACACGUGAGUAACCUGCCCAUCACUCUGGGAUAAGCACUGGAAACGGUGUCUAAUACUGGAUACGACCAACCCUUGCAUGGGGUGUUGGUGGAAAGAUUUAUCGGUGAUGGAUGGACUCGCGGCCUAUCAGCUUGUUGGCGGGGUAAUGGCCCACCAAGGCGACGACGGGUAGCCGGCCUGAGAGGGUGACCGGCCACACUGGUACUGCGACACGGCCCAGACUCCUACGGGAGGCAGCAGUGGGGAAUAUUGCACAAUGGGCGAAAGCCUGAUGCAGCGACGCCGCGUGAGGGAUGACGGCCUUCGGGUUGUAAACCUCUUUCAGCAGGGAAGAAGCGAAAGUGACGGUACCUGCAGAAGAAGCACCGGCUAACUACGUG